rnacentral:rRNA from 1 species
AGUGAACGCUGGCGGCGUGCUUAAGACAUGCAAGUCGAACGGCAGUCUUCGGACUGUAGUGGCGCACGGGUGAGUAACGCGUAACUGACCUACCCCAAAGUCGCGGAUAACGAUUCGAAAGAAUCGCUAAUACGUGAUGUGCUGUCAGAUUGUGUUCUGCCAGUAAAGAUUGAUUGCUUUGGGAUGGGGUUGCGUUCCAUCAGCUAGUUGGUGGGGUAAAGGCCCACCAAGGCGACGACGGAUAGCCGGCCUGGGAGGGUGGCCGGCCACAGGGGCACUGAGACACGGGUCCCACUCCUACGGGAGGCAGCAGUUAGGAAUCUUCCACAAUGGGCGAAAGCCUGAUGGAGCGACGCCGCGUGAGGGAUGAAGGUCUUCGGAUCGUAAACCUUUGAAUCAGGGACGAAAGACACUUCGGUGGGAUGACGGUACCUGAGUAAUAGCACCGGCUAACUCCGUGCCAGCAGCCGCCGCCGUAA